rnacentral:lncRNA from 1 species
UAGAUUGAGAUAGGAUUCGAAGAUCGUUGCCAUCCAACGUCGAAUCUUGCCGUGGGAACAAUUCGGAAGAUCAACUCUGGAGUCGAUCACUUCUCGUUUCGCAGGUAUACUUCUUUUACUACCUUGUAGGAUUAUGGUUUUUGUAUGUACUUGUUAGAUAUCCGAAAUGGAUCGUGGGCACACGAACCGUAUAUCAAAAUAUGGUUCCUUCAAUUGGUAUCAGAGCCAAGGUCCGGAC